rnacentral:rRNA from 1 species
AAAGAAAUUCGGUGAAGGAUGGGCAUGCGUCGCAUUAGUUAGUUGGCGGUGUAACGGACCACCAAGACGACGAUGCGUAGGGGUUCUGAGAGGAAGGUCCCCCACACUGGUACUGAGACACGGACCAGACUCCUACGGGAGGCAGCAGUGAGGAAUAUUGGUCAAUGGCCGAGAGGCUGAACCAGCCAAGUCGCGUGAGGGAAGAAUGUCCUAUGGAUUGUAAACCUCUUUUGUCAGGGAGCAAAGUCACCCACGUGUGGGUGUUGGAGAGUACCUGAAGAAAAAGCAUCGGCUAACUCCGUGCCAGCAGCCGCGGUAAUACGGAGGAUGCGAGCGUUAUCCGGAUUUAUUGGGUUUAAAGGGUGCGUAGGCGGGUUAUCAAGUCAGCGGUAAAAUCGUGGAGCUCAACUCCAUCCAGCCGUUGAAACUGAUGAUCUUGAGUGGGCGAGAAGUAUGCGGAAUGCGUGGUGUAGCGGUGAAAUGCAUAGAUAUCACGCAGAACUCCGAUUGCGAAGGCAGCAUACCGGCGCCCGACUGACGCUGAAGCACGAAAGCGUGGGUAUCGAACAGGAUUAGAUACCCUGGUAGUCCACGCAGUAAACGAUGAAUACUAAUUGUGUGCUCCGAAUGAGGAGUGC